CUUGCGGCGGUCUACACAUGCAGUCGCGGGAGAGGAACCCUUCGGGGUUCUGGAGACCGGCGGAUGGGUGAGUAACGCGUAGGUAAUCUGCCUACAGGACGGGGAUAACCCACCGAAAGGUGAGCUAAUACCCGAUGAUGCAGCGGGGCCGCAUGGCCACAGUUGUUAAAUCCUUCGGGAGCCUGUAGAUGAACCUGCGUGCCAUUAGCUAGUUGGUAGGGUCAAAGCCUACCAAGGCAAUGAUGGCUAGGGGGUCUGAGAGGAUGAUCCCCCACACUGGGACUGAGACACGGCCCAGACUCCUACGGGAGGCAGCAGUGAGGAAUCUUGCGCAAUGGGGGCAACCCUGACGCAGCCACGCCGCGUGCUGGAAGACGGCCCUAUGGGUUGUAAACAGCUUUUACUGGGGAAGAACCUGGACCUUUCGAGGACCACUGACGGUACCCAGUGAAUAAGCACCGGCUAACUCCGUGCCAGCAGCCGCGGUAAUACGGAGGGUGCAAGCGUUGUCCGGAAUCAUUGGGUGUAAAGGGUGUGCAGGCGGAAGUCUAAGUCGGAGGUGAAAUCUUGCCGCUUAACGGUAAAAGGGCCUUCGAAACUGGAUUUCUUGAGUUCGGAAGAGGUUGGUGGAAUUCGUGGUGUAGCGGUGAAAUGCAUAGAUAUCACGAAGAACACCGGUGGCGAAAGCGGCCAACUGAUCCGAUACUGACGCUGAGACACGAGAGCGUGUGGAGCGAACAGGAUUAGAUACCCUGGUAGUCCACGCUGUAAACGAUGCAUGCUAGUUGUUGUCCCUUUGGGGGGCAGUGACGCAUUUAACGCAGUAAGCAUGCCACCUGGCGAGUACGUUCGCAAGAAUGAAACUCAAAGGAAUUGACGGGGGCCCGCAUAAGCGGUGGAGCAUGUGGCUUAUUUCGAUGCAACGCGAAGACCUUACCUAUGGCUAAAUCUCGGGCGACCGCCCUCGAAAGGGGGCUUCCCUUCGGGCCGCCCAGCGAAGUGCUAGCAUGCUGUCGAUCAGCAUACGUGCCGUGCAGGUGGCUAGGGAUCAGGUCCAGCACGAGCGCUAAGCACUGAUGACUAGUUACCAGCACGGUAGUGGGUGCGAUCUUCUAAGUUCAA
rnacentral:rRNA from 1 species